AAACAUUUUCUCAUUAGUCCUGUUUGCCUAGUCAGUCACUUGUAUAGACAGGGCAACAGCACGGCCUGAAUAUUGGGCAGGACACCGCCCUGCGCGAUAGUAACUUUGCCCAACAGCUUGUUGAGCUUCUCGUCGUGGAUGGCGAGCUGCAGGCGUCGGGGGGUGACGCGGGUCUUCUUGUCUCGGGCCGCGUUGCCCGCCAACUCCAGGAUCUUGGCGGUCAGGUACUCCAGCACCGCCUCCAGGUACACCGGCGCACCGGCCCGGACCCGCUUGGCGUAGUUGCCCUUGCGGAGGAGGCGGUGCACUCGGCCCACAGAAAACUGGAGACCAGCCCUGGAAGAGUGCGUUUUAGCCUUGGCGCGAGCUUUGCUGCCCUGCAUUCCACAUCCAGACGCAGUGAAGUAUUUAAAUACUUGUUUAGAAGAAGGAAAGUGAUUGAUUCUAGUAAAACGCAAGAGCUAAACUCUUAUAAUCUAUAUUCGGCAAAGUAGACUGUGCUAUCUCCUGAACACAGAUUUCAGCCAAUCGAAAAGCAGGUGUUUAAAAAAAUUU
rnacentral:lncRNA from 10 species